CCUUUAGUGGGGAUACCGUAUGGAAACGUACGUUAAUACCGAAUGAGAUCUACGGAUGAAAGGUGCCCUCUUCUUGAAAGGUAUCGCUAAAGGAUGAGCCCAUGUUAGAUUAGCUAGUUGGUGAGGUAAUGGCUCACCAAGGCAUCGAUCUAUAGCUGGUUUGAGAGGAUGAUCAGCCACACUGGGACUGAGACACGGCCCAGACUCCUACGGGAGGCAGCAGUGGGGAAUAUUGCACAAUGGAGGAAACUCUGAUGCAGCCAUGCCGCGUGUGUGAAGAAGGCCCGAGGGUUGUAAAGCACUUUUAGUGAGGAGGAAAGGUUAGUAGUUAAUACCUGCUAGCUGUGACGUUACUCACAGAAAAAGCACCGGCUAACUCUGUGCCAGCAGCCGCGGUAAUACAGAGGGUGCAAGCGUUAUUCGGAAUUACUGGGCGUAAAGCGCGCGUAGGCGGAUUGUUAAGUCAGUUGUGAAAGCCCUGGGCUCAACCUAGGAACGGCGAUUGAAACUGGCAGUCUAGAGUUUAGUAGAGGGAAGGGGAAUUUCUGGAGUAGCAGUGAAAUGCGUAGAUAUCAGAAGGAACAUCAGUGGCGAAGGCGCCUUCCUGGACUAAAACUGACGCUGAGGUGCGAAAGCGUGGGGAGCAAACGGGAUUAGAUACCCCGGUAGUCCACGCCCUAAACGAUGUCAACUAGCUGUUGGCCUUAU
rnacentral:rRNA from 1 species